AUUAGGAGGAGGAUCACUGUUCCUCUGGACCCCAUUGGCAGCACCCACUUGUCUUCCAGGAGCAGAAAGGAGGAACCUGAAGAUUUUAAGGAACACAAUGCAAAGUGAUCAAACUGACAGAUGACGUAACACUGUUAAAAAACGACUGAUUUAUCAUCUGGUUUAGUUUGGUUCUUUUCGUUUUUGUGGUUUCUUCUUCUUCUUUUGGAAAUCUGUUUAAUUGAACUUUUGGUUACUAUUAAGCCAUUGCAUCUCGGGUUUAUAAACUGUGAUUUAUUUAUUUGUAUUUAUGUUUUUCCAAGAUUAGCUCACCAGCUCCACCUAGUGGGGUGCAAACUGACAGACACUGUACUGGUGUUGCCUCAAAAUAAAAUGUACAUGGAUAAACCAUCAA